rnacentral:lncRNA from 1 species
UAAAUAUCAAUAUUGAUUUUAACACAUACAGAAAUAAUAUAGAUUUCUAUCUGAGACAAUAACAAACUUUCCAUGGAAAUAAGAUAACCUGACUCCUUCACAAUAAAACUCCUACCCCAUAUCAGUAAAAAUUUUGGAACCAUUGUAUGUCAGAUCAAUCAGUCCUUGAUACCUUGAUCUGUUCUUGCACCAAAAUCCACACCUUCAUGCUGGGAAAAACAGUGAAGGCUCUGAAGAAGGUGAAUCUAGGAAGUAAAUGCUAUAUGAGAUAUCCCAUUAAAAAGCCAAAUACUUCUUCACUUUGCAGAUCUAAGAAAUUUUUCUUUCUAGGUAGAAUCUAUAACAACUCUCCUAGACUCUAGCCUUAAUAAUUUUUUUGUUUUUUCUGGAUCUUUAUAUGAAAUAAAAAAAUCAUUAAGCAAAUUAUUUUUUACCAGAAUAUCAAGCC